AUUUGGCAGAAAAAGUAGUUCAAUAUGCAGUAAUGCUAUGUAGUAAUUACUGUAUUUAUGAAUUUAGCACCAAAAUAUCACGAUAUAUUGAAAAUAUUGACUACAAAAAUGUGUUGGAUAAUCCAGAAUGUUGGAUAAGCAAGUGUUGGAUAAGUGAGACUCUACUGUAAUUACUACAUAGCAUUACUGCGCAUGGAACUACUUUUUCUGUCAAAUUUGUUGCAUAAUAUGUUUUGGUGCUUAAUUUGUAUAAUCAUUACCUAAUUUGAUGUUUAAUUGGCUUUUCCUGAAUCCCUUCUUAUUAUCCAACAUAUUCACUUAUCCUGCCGGCCUGUUUAUGUUGGAUAAGUGAGACUCUACUGUAUAUUUAUAAUCUUAUAUUAUCUGCUUAGAACUGGAUUAUAUGAGGCCCCUUCUUCACAGUUGUAUAAAAUGCACACUGGAUUAUAUGGUAGUGUGGAGUCAAGAUAAUCCAGUGCAAAACAAAUUAUAUAAGAUAUAUUAGCUAUAGAAUGGGUUAUAUAGCUGUGUGGAAGGGCCUUGAGUCUACACUGCCAUACAAUCCAGUGCAAAUUAGAUAAUCUGUGGAAAAGCCUGAGGCCUAAAUCUGCCUGUCCCCUAACUGAACCCUGGCUGUCCCUUGGUUGCUAGAAGACCAAGUGGGCAGAGAUUAGCCCUCUAAACUGGCAGCAAUUGGAUAAAAACAAUUACUGCUCUCCCUCUAAUUAGGACUUUUUCUUUUUUUGUUGUAUCAACCUAGAGGCAUGGAUGAUGGGUUGUGUUCUCAAAUUUCGAGGUUGGGGGGUCUGUAGAUUUGUUGUUUUGUCCGGUGCCCUGAUUCCAUCACUCUUUUAUAUAUAUACUAGCUGUGCCCGGCCACGCGUUGCUGUGGCGAUGUCUGGUGGUAUGGGAAAUAAAGUAUUGAGGAAUUGGUGGUAGUUAAGGUAAAGGGUAAAGGUUUUCCCCAGACAUUAAGUCCAGUCGUGUCUUACUCUGGAGGUUGGUGCUCAUCUCCCUUUCUAAGCCGAAGAGCCGGCGUUGUCCGUAGACUCCUCCAAUGUCAUGUGGGAUGACUGCAUGGAGCGGCGUUACCUUCCUGCCGGAGCAGUACCUAUUGAUGCACUCACAUUUGCAUGUUUUUGAACUUCUGGGUUGGCAGAAGCUGGGGCUAACAGUGGGGGCUCUCUCUGCUCCCCCAAUUCAAACCUGUGGCCUUUCGGUCCAGAAGUUCAGCAGCUCAGCACUUUAACACGCUGCGCCAUCAGGGGAUAUUAUUUCCUAAAGGUUGUGAAUAUACACUAUUUCUGAUUGGUUUUUUUGUCUGUUGGAGGCAAGUAUGAAUGCUGCAAUUAGGAAAAAUGAUUAGGAUGUAAUGGCCUUGCAGCUUUAAAGCGUGGCUGUUUCCUCCCUGAGUGAAUUUUUUGUUGGGAGGUGUUAGCUGGCCCUGAUUGUUUCCUGUCUGGAAUUCCCUUGUUUUCAGAGUGGUGUUGUUUGUGAUAUUUUAUGUGCUUCUACUGUCUGUGGCCCUGAGAAAACAGAGGAUUUUCCAGACUUUGAUGAUGGGAAUACUUUGUUGGGAGGUGUUAGCUGGCCCUGAUUGUUUCCUGUGUGGAAUUCCCCUGUUUAUUUACUGUCCUGGUUUUAGAGAUUAUAUUGUUCUGCAUUAUUCUAUCCCAGUAAUUAUUUCAUAUUAAAGAAGAAUCUCAGUUAUCCAACAUUCGCUUAUACAAUGUUCUGGAUUAUCCAACGAAGUCUGCCUUUUCAUAAUCAAUGUUUUUGUAGUCAGUGUUUUAAAUUCAUUGUGAUAUUUUAGUGGUAAAUUUGUAAAUACAGUACAGUAGAGUCUCACUUAUCCAACAUAAACGGGCCGGCAGAACGUUGGAUAAGCGAAUAUGUUGGAUAAUGAGGAAUUAAGGAUAACCCUAUUAAACAUCAAAUUAAGUUAUGAUUUUACAAAUUAAGCACCAAAACAUCAUGUUAGACAACAAAUUUGUCAGAAAAAGUAGUUCAGUACACAGUAAUGCUAUAUAGUAAUUACUGUAUUUAUGAAUUUAGCACCAAAAUAUCACGGUAUAUUGAAAGCAUUGACUACAAAAAUGCAUUGGAUAAUCCAGAACAUUGGAUAAGCGAGUGUUGGAUAAGUGAGACUCUACUGUAAAUACUACAUAGCAUUACUGCGCAUGGAACAACUUUUUCUGUCAAAUUUGUUGUAUAAUAUGAUGUUUUGGUGCUUAAUUUGUAUAACGAUUACCUAAUUUGAUGUUUAAUUGGCUUUUCCUGAAUCCCUUCUUAUUAUCCAACAUAUUCACUUAUCCUGCCGGCCUGUUUACGUUGGAUAAGUGAGACUCUACUGUAUAUUGAUAAUCUUAUAUUAUCUGUUUAGAACUGGAUUAUAUGAGGCCUCUUCUUCACAGCUGUAUAAAAUGCACACUGAAGUGGCUUAUAUGGUAGUGUGGAGUCAAGAUAAUCCAGUGCAAAGCAGAUAAUAUAAGAUUAUAAAUGGGUUAUAUAGCUGUGUUGAAGGGCCCUGAGUCUACACUGCCAUAUAAUCCAGUGCAAAUUAGAUAAUCUGUGGAAGAGGCCUAAGUGAGGCCUAAAUCUGCCUGUCCCCUAACUGAAACCUGGCUGUCCCUUGGUUGCUAGGCAACCAAGUGGGCAGAGAUUAGCCCUCUAAACUGGCAGCAAUUGGAUAAAAAAAAUUAUUGCUCUCCCUCUAAUUAGGACUUUAUUUUUCUUUUCUUUUUGUUGUAUCAACCUUGAGGCGUGGAUGAUGGGUUGUGUUGUCAAAUUUUGAGGUUGGGGGGCCUGUACUUUUGUUGUUUUGUGAAUUGCCGUGAUGCCAUCACUCUUUUAUAUAUAUAGAUAUAGAUGGAUUUGAUAUUAACAGUAUGUUACCCAUACUCUAAAAAAUAUGCCCCUCCCCUAAGGUUUUUGUGGGCAUCUCUAAGUCCUCCAGUCCGAUUCUAUGGAAUGCUUCUAGCCCCAAGUAUAGUCUGUUACAGUGGUUCUCAACCUGUGGGUCCCCAGAUGUUUUGGCCUUCAACUCCCAAAAAUCCUAACAGGUGGUAAACUGGCUGGGAUUUCUAGGAGUCGUAGGCCAAAACAUCUGGGGACCCACAGGUUGAGAACCACUGGUCUAUGUUAUAAAUUACUUAAAUCUAACCAAAUAAAAAUAUUUUUCAAAAGAUAUCCACAGUGGGUGGGUAGAGUGUUGGAAGGUAUCCCCUCUGCAGAUAAAGGGAUAAUGCUAUACUGAAACCUGGAGUCAUCCAAUGUAGGUAAUGGUAGAAGAUUCAGAAUUUAUUAAAGGAAUUCUUUCUCUACACAGUACUGUACGAAACCAUAGAAUUUAUUACCACCUGAUUUAGGUUGCUAACAUUGAUGCCCUUAUAAAAGGAUUAGCCAAAUGCUUGGAAAAUAAGACUAUCAGUGGUUACUAGUGAUUAUGACUGUAUAUAUGCUCCAUUAUAUCAGAUAGCAUGCUUAUCAACACCUUGGAAAUAUGAGUGGCUUGGUGAUGUAUGUUAUUUUUGGAGACUUCCCAUAGGACUUGGGUUGGCUGUUGCAGAAAACAAAUGCAUGCCUUUUAUGUUCACCUCAUUAUUUCCAACAUCACGAAGGUAUCACAAGGCUCUUACAGCUGUGGGAGACAGAUAGAAGUUUGCACUUCAUGGUUUUGAAACUGUUUACCAAAUCUAGAGGGUAGGUCUGAUCAAGAAUUAAGUCUCUUUUACUUUGAAAUAUCUUACAGAGAUUUUGGGAGGAAUAAUGCAAGUCUGAUGCCCUUCAAAGAAAGAUGGCACUGAAAUAUGCAAAUAAGCUAAGGAAUGAUUUAACAUGAUUAGUUCCCCCCCCCCACACACACACACAGAAAAAAAAUUUAAGAAAGCCGAGAACUCAUUUGUGAAUGAAUCAAGGGGGGUUUAAAAAUCACAUAUUAUUGCUUAGUGGUUCAGAAAUCGUAUCUCAAGUUGCAUGCCAGUGACUAGAGUUAAUUGCUACUUUGGUUUACAAGUCAGAGUGCUUUUCAGAAAACACUUUCAGAUCUUAAAAAGAGAUUUCCUAGAUAUUAAACAGGCUUAUUUCUAUUUAACCUUGCAGAAAGCAAAUGAUUCCUUGACCCCUGCUUUUUUCUUUGACUCCUUGUUUUCAGUGCCUCACAACUCACUCUCCUUUCUACUGGAACUUAAAGAAAGGAUGAUGUUUUAGCCGUGUAGUGCGAGUUUGUUCUGCUGAUGCAGUGAGAAAAAACAUUCUUAAAAUGAAACUCUCUUACAAACAAGAUUUAAGAAAAAGGUCUUUGAAAUUAAAUAUUUGCUGCACAGAAAACAAGAAUACAGAAUUAGCACCAACAGUAAAGACAAAAAUGCUUACAAAUCUGAUCAGUGUCAGUUUAUAAAAGGCAGGUUAUGACUCAAUCAUGAAAAAAUAAAUUUCUACCCACUUAGGAAGGCAGUAGGAACUGGAAACAGUAGAAACUGGAAAUGAUUUGGUCCCAUACCUAGAUGAUUCCCUCCCCCAAUUUCAAAUACUGUAUUGACUGAAUUUUCUAAACCCCAAAUGUGAUGUGCCUCAAUUGUAUGUUGGGUAGAAUUUAGUUUUUGUGAUGCAUACAAGUUGUAGGAACCAGUGUAUAUCGAAAAUGCAAUUAGAAAGAAUUGUGAAUUUACAACAGAUGCAGUGAUAUCACCCUAAUCUUUAAGUCUCAUUAGAUUACAAAACUUGAAAGGGAGAUGGAAAAGGUACUACAUUAAGAAGUAAUAGUCAUACCAGAAUUAUUAUUGGCAGAGAAUGUAAGCUAUUUUGGUGUCAAUUUUGAUUUUAUUUCCUUUUUGCUAAAAUGCAGUUUCAGUUUCAUAAAGAAUUAAAAAACAACCUAGCUGAACUGGAGAGUUGGCAAUGUCACGAAAUACAUCAGAAAGGAAAAGUAUUUGAUUUUGCAAAAAAAAAUUCCCUUAAAACUAUUUCAACACAAUGUUUUCAUCCAAUGUUUAUUAAAAAUUACUACACAAGAAAGUCCGGUAUCACUCUAAAAAUGCAUUCGAUUUUAAGCUUCCCAUUUCCCAAAUUCCAAUAUUAUGCAAAGCACAUACAGAGACAAAAUAUAUCCAUUAUGAAUAUAGAAGAACACCAUCAUGUUAAAGUAACCUACCCAAUUUAAAAAUAAACAUAAACUACAAUUGAGAUACAUGAAUGCAAUUGCCACUUCUUCAUAACUGAUAUAGGUAUCACACAGAUACACAAAGAAUGACUAGAUAUUGCUUUUUAAUUGGAAACAAAUAUAUCUGGUGCCUAAAAUUGCAUUUUUUCAUCCUGCAAUCUGCUACUGGAAGACAAUGGAGAAAUAUUGAACUAGAGACAUCCCUUCAGAUUCAGUGAAGUGCUUUGUUUUAUAUAUAGAAGGUUUCAGUUGAACAGAUGCUUCUUUCUUCAAGCACAUUAAAUUUCAUGACCACAGAUCAACAGAUCAGAGUUACAGAUCUGAUCUAUUAUCAGCAAUAGAGAAGGAAACUGAUCCACUACAGUGGUGAACUUUGUCAGAAGUUAUGUGUGAGUCUUUCAGAGCCUAGUACUCCCACAUGAUCUACAUAUUGGGUUAGGGGUAAAAAGUCUGUUAAUAUAAAAGACAGUAUUUACAGAGCAUAACAUAGGCAGCCAGGAUACUAGAGACUAUAUAUUAUAUGUGCUAUUGUGCUGGCCUUCAAACUAGGCACAUGAAGGAAGACUGAAGCAGAUAAAUGCCAAACUAGAUCAGGUAAGAUACCCUAACACAGUGGUUCUCAGCCUGGGGUCCCCAGAUGUUUUUGGCCUACAACUCCCAGAAAUCCCAGCCAGUUUACCAGCUGUUAGGAUUUCUAACAGCCAUAACCAGUGAGGUAGCAGCAUACUUUUGAAGGACAGAGGAAGGAACUGGGCAAACCACCUGUGCAUAUUCUUAGACUCUAUUACACCACUUUUUUUUUCGUGUCAGGAGUAACUUGAGUCGCUUCUGGAGUGAGAGAAUUGGCCCUCCAUGAGGACGUUGCCCAGGGGACACCCGGAUGUUUUGAUGUUUUUACCAUCCUUGUGGGAGGCUUCUCUCAUGUCCCCGCAUGGAGCUGGAGCUGAUAGAGGGAGCUCAUCCACGCUCUCCCUGGGUGGGAUUCGAACCUGGCAGCUUUCAGGCACGAAGAUCAUGGCAGAUGCAGACUGCAGCCAGGAAAUCAGAAGACGUUUACUUCUCGGGAGGAGAGCAAUGGCCAACCUCGAUAAAACAGUGAAAAGCAGAGACAUCACACUGGUAACGAAGGUCUGCAGUUAAAGCAAUGGCAUUCCCCAUAGUAACCUAUGGAUGCGAGAGCUGGACCAUAAGGAAGGCUGAGCAAAGGAAGAUAGAUGCUUUUGAACUUUGAUGCUGGAGGAAAAUCCUGAGAAUGCCUUGGACCGCAAGAAGAUCCAACCAGUCCAUACUCCUGGAAAUAAUGCCCGGCUGCUCACUGGAGGGAAGGAUAUUAGAGGCAAAGAUGAAGUAUUUUGGCCACAUCAUGAGAAGACAGGAAAGCUUGGAAAGGAUCAUGAUGCUGGGGAAAAUGGAAGGAAAAAGUAAGAGAGGCCAACCAAGGGCGAGAUGGAUGGAUGGUAUCCUUGAAGAGACUGGCUUGACCUUGAAGGAACUGGAGCAGCGACGGCCAACAGGGAACUCUGGUGUUGACUGGUCCAUGAGGUUACUAAUAGUCGGAAACGACUGAGUGAUUGAACAACAACAACAAAACAGGUGGGGGGAUAAGUCACUUAUCUAUAACUAGUUUUUUUUUCCAGUGGGUUAUCUCCGUAUACAAAUGUGAUGCUGUUGCACAGGCUUUGCCCAUUUGCGAGUUACAGAGACCACAAAGAAAAGAUUGGUGUGAUUACCAGCUAAAAGCUAAAAAAAAAGGGUAAUUUCUCAACUGAGCCAAUGAUAUGACUCUGUCGUUUCCCAUCUCUUCUUUUGUUGCAGGCUGACUAAAAUGGAGACUCAGUGGCAGUUGGGGAAGAAACAAUCACUGUUCAGACUUGGCCUGGCUUUCCUUUUUUGCUCCGACUACAACCUAAAUUAAUGGCCCAUAAAAAGAUUCCACCAAAAGAGUUAGAAAUUGCACAUAUAAACAUCUAUCAGAACACUGCUUCUUAAACUGUGGCACCCGACCUCAAAUGGGGUUCCUUUAGUUCAGUGUUGGACUCCUGAAGAAUUUGACAAUAGUAAAAGGUUUUCUGGACACAAUGCAUUUACACAAAUCUGUGCAGUGUUUACAGUGGACUCUGUAUAAAAUACUUUAGUUGUACUUCAUAAAAAGGAAAAUCAGACUGUUUAGCAAGCCCUGCAAAUGCUGAUUUAUUAACCUUACUGUUUGAUUUGUAUACCUAUUUUAUAUACAUAAACAUUUCCCAGGCAGAAAGAGGUCAUAAGUGGAAAACAUUUAAGAUGCUCUUUGCUUUCUUCUUCCUAGUAGUUAAGAAUAGAGGGACUAAACCCAGCUGUUCACUGCCACUGAUAGAACUGUUUCUAUCUUCAAAAAGGGAGUACUGUCUUCCCUUUCCACUUUAUUGCAUGCACACACCCCAAAAAAGAAUGAAAAAAUUGGGAAACACACUAGAGCUGGGUCUCAGAUUGAGGUGGGAAGGGGGAAAAGUUUUGUUGCAAUUGCACUACACUAUCACCGAGCUUUAGUACAGCAAGUUAAAUCACCAGCUGCAAUAAAUCUUGUCAGUUGAGAAGCUGACAGUGCGAAGUCCAGUCAGUGAGCUCCUGAUCUUUAGCCCAGGUUCCGCCUUCCUAGUAGUUCCAAAGUAAAAUGUGAGUAGAUAAAUAGGGACCACUUAAAAGCGGGGAGGUAUUAAGGCACCCAUAAGGAAAUGCCGGAGAUUUGAUCAAAAGGACGAAGUUACGAACAAAGCUCUUCAGCAGGGAGAUGGAGUGACAGCACCCCCCCUCCCAUGACCAGAACCGAGCACAAACCUCUACGAUGCCUAUAUACCUCUAUCUAUGUUCAACUGUCUGUCCUGUCUGUGUAUAAACAGCAUUGAACAUUUGCCACAUAUUUGUGUUAUGUGAUCCAGCUUGAAUCCCCUUUAGGGUAAGAAGGGUGGAAUAUAAAUACAAUCAAUCAAUCAAUCAAUCAAUCAUGACAUUUGAUAUUGGCCAGGAUAACUAAGGUAACUCAUUGGUUAAAUAGCAGGACAUACGACAAAACUAAAAUAACAAGUACUAUGCCAUUUGCAAUCAAUAUUUGGAACAAGUUUAAGGAAGCUUUCAAAAGAGAAAUAAUCAUUUUUCACCAUCUCAAGAUAUAUCAGCAAUUGGAUUAUUCUGUUCUUAUCUUCCUACAAUUGAGUUGUAGGAUAAUAACAGGGAAUCAGGUGAACUCAUGUUAAAUUCAUGACAAUAAAGAUUGUAAGACAAAACAUUUAUUAUUGUUGUUAUUAUGUUUUUAUUAUUUUAGAAAAAAUGAGCUAUUAAGUAUCAUUUUCAUUUAUGAUUUGCACUGGAUGCAGUCAUUGCAUCAAUAAAUGUCUACCCUUAAAUAUUUUAUUUUUAAAAAACCAUUAAUAUGCAACAAUGGCUUGUACACUUCCUUUCUACAAUAGAUUUUUUUUUUUGUCAGGAGAUAUUUCUUUCUAUUGAAAAGAAAAAAUAUAUACCAGUAUAUGCUACUUACAAAUUCAUAGUCACCAUCCUGAGGUACUCUCCAAUCUGGUGAAUACCUUUCAGGUACCUGCCUUACACAGUUUCUCCGAUUCUCUUUUUCUUUUUGUUCAAAAUAUUCAAGGAAAGAUGGUCUCACAGACGCCAUUGUUUCAUCUCUUCCUAUAAAUAUAAAAUUAAAACAUCAAUUUUAUUAACUUUAAAUCAAACAUUUUAUGUAUUUUACAUUCCACUAAACAAAUGUAUUGUUUACUAUCUUGCUGUUCACAAUUUACUGGUGUGUGCCUUGAAGUCAUUUCCAAUUAACAGCAGCCUUAAGUUGAACCAUUGGUGUUUCAGAGGAGGUCUGACAAUGCUGAAAGAGUGACUUGUUCAAAGUCACCCAAUGGGUUUUCAUAUCUGAGUGGAAACCUGAAUCUCCAGAGUUGUAAUCCAGUUCCAAAUCAAUACAAAUCAAUAAUGCAGUUAAUUUUCAAGCCACAAAAUAAAAGUGCGCUUUCUCAUUAAAAAAUUAAAAGAUAUGGCGAUCAGAAGGUAUUAUCUAAAAUCAGUAACAGAUCUGAGAAUAUCACAGAGGGUGUUCUGUCUCCUUGAGUUAUUCCAUCCCACCUAAUGAUUUAAAAUCACAUCAAUCUUCUUCAAAGCUCAGUUUAUAGCAUUAGGAAAAAAUAUUAAUUCUUUCACCUCUUGAGAAGGAUAUGGUCCUAUACUUGAUGUACAGCAGAGUCUCACUUAUCCAAUAUAAACGGGCAGGCAAAAUGUUGGAUAAGCAAAUAUAUUGGAAAAUAAGGAGGGAUUAAAGAAAAACCUAUUAAACAUCAAAUUAGGUUAUGAUUUUACAAAUUAAGCACCCAAACAUCAUGUUAUACCUCAAAUUUGACAGAAAAAGUAGUUCAAUACGAAAUAAUGCUAUGUAGUAAUUACUGUAUUUAUGAAUUUAGCACCAAAAUAUCACAAUUUAUUGAAAACAUCGACUACAAAAAUGCAUUGGAUAAUCCAGAAUGUUGGAUAAGCAAGUGUUGGAUAAGUGAGACUCUACUGUACAUACAUAGAAAUCAACAUUCAUUCCUUUAUAUGUUUGAUACUGUGAACUGUUACAUUAUUUCAGCAGGAUCACAACAUGGUUUAGCCUUCUUGACAAGAGAUCAAAAAAAAUUGUGUCGCAGAAUCUCUAUGGUGUCUUUUUAAGAAUUAAGGAACUGUAGAAAUAGGCAGAUUGACUAUUCCGAUUAAGAAGAAAUUUUUGAUCAACUUUAAGAAAGACUGUGAACUGCUCAUUAAUUUUUUUUAUCAAAAUGACAACAGCAUUUAUCAAUGGUAAACUGUUGUCUUAAAUAAACGUGAGAUUAUGCUAUUGUUAAAAGGAAGCCAACUUAUAAGGAACAACAACCAUCAGCUAGAGAGUGGGACAUUCGUAGUUUUUUCUUUUUUUAUAGUUGCUGAAUUAUACUUUAGUUGUAGUGUACAAUACGUAUUAAUGUAGUUUUAGCUUUAUAUACCCAAAAUGUUGUUUGUGUGUUUUAUUUUGUGAUUUUCUUGAAUAAAAUUAUUAUUUUCAAAAGGAUUAUGAGAUUGUCACUUACAACUCCAGAGAACUGUAGUUAAAAAGUUAUCACUUGGAUGACAGUAUUUUAAUGGAUAUUCCCCUACUGAGUUUAUUAUAUUUUAAUGUAUUUUCAGGCUUCCCUCACAAUAUGGAAGGCAAGUCUAUGAAUUACAUGGCAAGGUUUAUACAACCUGGAGAGAGGAAAAAAGACUACCAAGAACCAGUAUAUUUUGAUGUUCCUGUUAUAUUAUUAAACUUCUAGAAAAUGCCUUAAUGUAUCACAGCACUCAAAGCAUUAUAAGCAAUCUAAAAAUAGUAAGAACCAUCAACUCAACUGUAACACAGACAAACCAUUCAGAGUGAUAGUUUAUGUGAAACUUCCAUCUCAGCACAGAACACAAUGUGGAAACCUGCUAAAAAUGACAGUCAAACAUUUCACUGUCUGCAAAGAAGAACAGAGAGUGAUGACCAAAUAGUUCCUAAUAAUACAGAAGACAGGCAACAUCAUCCAAAUCAUUGCAAAAGCAUCCUGUUCAGUUCAUGAACUUUGUCUCCUAGAAGUAUAUCUUAAGCAAGGCCUACCAAGUCAAACUCAGUAAAAGACAAGUAAAAUAUUGUACAUGGACUCCAGGGCUUUUUCAGGCACACUGAUCACAAAUAUGAAUGAUGUAUUAAAGGGUAAUCUUAUAUGGGGGGUGGAGAGGAGAGAAGGGGUCUACGUUAAUUGCUGCAAUAACAUGUAUCAUGCUUAGGUCUAUGUUUGAUGUUUUUAUAGUUUUAAUGGUUUAAUCUACAAUUAUAUAUUUUUGAUUUAGAUAUGUGAUAUAAUUAUAUAUGGGAGACAUUGAAUUUUGCUAUUUAUUAUGUUGUAAACUGCUUUGAGUCCCCCAGUGGUGAGAAAAGUGGUAUAGAAAUGCAGGUAAUAAAUAAAUAAAUAAAUAUUCAGUCAGGUAUUUCAUGAAUGCCUAAUUGUUAUAAAUGCAUCUUUUAAAUGAAGUAUGUGUAAUUCAUUAUCACUGUUAUGUUUCAAAUGAUUUUAAGCUAUUUCAUAUUAGUGCUGUUUUAAUAGGAUGGUUCAUUUAAUUUUAAAUAACGUAUUAUUAUAAUUGUUGUUCUCCAGCUAUGAGCUUCUCUGAAUUUCAUAUAGGGGAAAAAGAUGUGAUGUGAACAAAUCAUCAACCAACAAAUAAACUAUUUUUAAGUGCCAA